GGGAUUACAGGCAUGAGCCACCAUGCCCAGCCACCUUACGCAUUUUAAAUGAUUUCAUUCUCCUAGGGCCCUAUGAGACAGAUACUAUUAUUCUCCCAUUAAGGUUCAAAAACUGAGGCAUAAAAAAAUUAAAUAACUUGCAUAACUUGGUAAAUGGCGGGCCUGACUGCACUCUGACUGGCGCACUUCAGGGCCUGUGCUUUUAGUUACUGUGCUGGGUAGGAUCUCAUCAUCGUCACAGUAAUAAUGAUAUGCUAAUGAACAUUUGUCGAACUCAUAUUCCAUACUGUGUUUUGCUCUGUGGGCUGCAGAUUGUUACCUCGGGUUUAACCAGAUUCUAAUCAGGUUGGCAAGGACACUGUCCACCUGGGAGACCAGCCUCAGAGCCCACAGUCCAAUAGAGACGCUACUCCAGGUCUUGCUGUGUCUGAGCUGCCCAUAGGGAAGUGGCCUGGCCACCUCCUCAAAUUGCUGAUGUCAUGACCUUUGGCAGGUCAUGACCUUUGGUCAUGACCUCGUGCUGCCUUUGGCUGAGAGCCAGGUCAGAGGGGCUGAGCCAGAGUGGAGUGAGCAGCUGCAUAGGUGGGCCCCUGGGGCCUCCAGACACCCUGGCUCAAUGCCUGGACACUGUUCAAGGCUGCUGCAGCCAGAGCUGGGGACCAAGCACCAGGACCCCUGAGUUCCAGGCCCAACUUCAUGGCUGAUGUGCUGCGGGACCUUGGGCAAAUCCCUACCCCUUCAUUGGCCUCAGUUUCCUGGAAGGCAGUUGAAUAAGAUUGCUCCUGUCCGUGACCUUCCUCCCUCAUAUCAUCUAUGAGAGGCUGGACAUUUGGGAUACCACAAAGUAGUCCCUCCUGCAUAGAACACAGGCCCCAGGUUAUUUAGGAUCUCUCCUUGGUACCAAACCCUGCUGGGCACUGGGGCCACAGAGAGGAGCUGAGCUGAUCCCUGCCUUCAAGUAGCUCCCAGUUGGUUGUCAGGGGGUGAUAGGAGUUGGGGGUAGGGGGCGGGUGGAGCGAGACAGACAGGAAAACGAGCCAUCAACCCAGUGUGGUAAGUGCUGCACUGCAUAGAGAGAAGGAAAUGCUGCACUGCAUACAGAGAAGGAAGUACUGCACUGCGUAGCGAGAAGGAUGCCCAAGGAGCUGCAGGGCUCCAUGGGGAGAGCAGCUGACUGCCUGCAAUGUCCUGGAUGGCUUCCCUAUAGGAAGGACAUGGAGCUACUGCAUCUUCCAGGUAGAGAAGGAGAUGUGCAUUCCUAUUGAGGGAACAACCUGCACAAUGGUCUGGAGACAGAAAAGACCAGGCUUUGAAGAUGGAAGAGGGGACCACCAGCCAAGGAGUGCAGCCCAAGAAGCUGGAAAAGUUAUGAAAACCAAUUCUCCCCUAGAGCCUCCAGAAGGAAUGCAGCCCUGCUGACACUUUGAUUUUAGCCUCCAUAAGACCCGUUUUGGACUUCUGACUUCCAGAACUGUAAGACAAUAAAAUCGUCUUGUUUUAAGCCACAAAUUUGUGGUAAUUUGUGAAACUGAUACAGAUGUAAUUGCCAAAAAUAUUAUAGAAAACUGGCUCCAGUUUUCACAUAGUGUAGAGUGAAUAAACACAUACAAAUCCACAUUCACCUUCA